CUAUGUGUUUAUGGAAUUGCUUCCUUCGCAGCAGCUCAUAGCUAUGGAAGAGUAAAAAAGGAGAGGGAGUUCAGGGCAGAGCAAGGAUGCCUCCAUCCACCGCAGCGAAAAUCGUGGACCAGUGGUUGGCUUCAAGCUGUCCUUCCACUUUGCCUCCACACUUGCACGUCCACCUUCAACUCCAAGAAGGCCUCCACAAUUGACAAGGAAUUGGUGGAAGCAGAGUUGGUUUGUUUCUGCUCAUCAUCAUUUCAGGUGGUCAACAAUAGGAGGCAAAAAGCAAAGCACCAGAUGAAGUACUGGUCGGCCGGCGCAGAGGAGCAGCCUGCCACCGCCGCCGGCGCGGAGGGAGAAACUAGCACCUACCGACGGUGGUGGCGUGGAGGGAGCAGCCUUGGCUCGGAUGGGUGGUGCGUGGUGGUGGGCAUCGCUGCUGGCAAAUGGAUGGACGUACGGGCGGCGACGAGAUGGAAGGACAGGACAGCGCCGGCCGGGAUGGAUGCACCGGCGGCGCGCGGGAAGAAAAUGGGCCCACGCGCCAAAAGCUGA
rnacentral:lncRNA from 1 species